AUAUGUUAUCUAGUGGCGGACGGGUGAGUAACACGUGGGUAACCUGCCUUAUGGAGGGGGAUAACAGAGAGAAAUCACUGCUAAUACCGCAUAAGCACACAUUGCCGCAUGGCAGAGUGUGAAAAGAUUUAUCGCCAUAAGAUGGACCCGCGUCUGAUUAGCCAGUUGGCAGGGUAAAAGCCUACCAAAGCAACGAUCAGUAGCCGAUCUGAGAGGAUGACCGGCCACAUUGGGACUGAGACACGGCCCAAACUCC
rnacentral:rRNA from 1 species